rnacentral:rRNA from 1 species
AACGCGAAGAACCUUACCUGGGCUUGAACUACUCGUGGUAAGCUGGUGGAAACACUAGCUGACCCGCAAGGGAGCGAGCAGAGGUGCUGCAUGGUUGUCGUCAGCUCGUGUCGUGAGAUGUUGGGUUAAGUCCCGCAACGAGCGCAACCCCUACUCGAUGUUGCUAAUCCCGCAAGGGAUGCACUCUUCGAGAACUGCCUUCGAUAAGAAGGAGGAAGGUGGGGACGACGUCAAAUCCUCAUGGCCCUUAUGUCCAGGGCUACACACGUGCUACAAUGGCCGGUACAACGGGAAGCAAUACCGUAAGGUGGAGCCAAACCCUGAAAGCCGGCCCCAGUUCAGAUUGUGGGCUGCAACUCGCCCACAUGAAGGCGGAAUCGCUAGUAAUCGCGAAUCAGCAGGUCGCGGUGAAUACGUUCCCGGGCUUUGUACACACCGGUAUCUC